rnacentral:rRNA from 1 species
UGGAUGUCAUGUACGGAGUAGCGGACGGGUGAGUAAUACAUGAGAACCUAUCCUUUUGCAGGGGGACAACGUCUGGAAACGGACGCUAAUACCGCGUAUGCCGAGAGGUGAAACCCCGCAAGGGGGCAAAGGAGGGGCUCGUGACCUAUCAGCUAGUUGGUGGGGUAAGAGCCUACCAAGGCGAAGACGGGUAGCCGGCCUGAGAGGGUGAACGGCCACACUGGAACUGAGACACGGUCCAG